UGUGUUACGACAGUGAUGUGUGUUGCCGUAAAGCGUUUUUCCCGCGAUGUGGAGCGUUGAUGACGCAGCGCAGUUCACGUGGUUCCACCUUGAGCCCUCCUUCCAUGUCCGUGCGUCCUUGGACAUAACAGGAAUUUCAUGUUGGGAAGGUGCUGGAGCCUAUCCCAGCUGCAUGUGGGCGGAAGGCGGUGUACACCCUGGACAAGUCUCCACCUCAUCGCACCGCAGACACCGAUACACAACCCCCAAUAUACUAAUUGCUUGUAUUUCGUCACGUGAGUUCGUCUUGAACAUGUUGAAAGUAGACCAGACGUCAUCUGCUGCUUGAUAAAGUACCUUGGGGAGCCAACUACUGAAUGAAAGAACACUUACCAGGAUGUCAUCACUGAAUCGCUCCAAGAAGAAUAUUCUGCAUUCAGUGGCAGGACAUCAGCCAUUAGCCUUCACUCUGCUACUUGGAGACAUCACAAUAGUGGACACAGCGGGCCAGGAACGGUUCCACACCAUCACCACUUCCUACUACAGAGGCGCCAUGGGCAUCAUGCUGGUCUAUGACAUCACCAACGCCGAAAUCUUUGAAAACAUCAGCAAGUGGCUGCGCAACAUUGGUGAACAUGCGAACGACGGAGGUUGAGAGAAUGCUACUAGGCAACAAGUGUGACAUGGAAGAUAAGAGGGUUGUACCAAAAGCCAAGGGAGAGCAGAUUGCGAGAGAGCACGGCAUUAGGUUUUUCGAGACAAGCGCCAAAGCUAACAUCAACAUCGAGAACGCUUUCCUCACAUUAGCAGAAGACAUCCUCAAAAAGACGCCUGUAAAAGAGCCCAGCAGCAAAAAUGUGGACAUUAGAGGCGGGGGCGGAGUCACAGGCUGAAAGAGCAAGUGCUGCAGUUGAACGACUGGCAGCGACACACACAUACAGAGAAAAACACACGUGCACACACAAACAUCUCCCCUCUUUAACUGUCUGCCACCUUCUAACCGUCUCGUGACUCGUUGCACACUGACACUCUUUCUUCAUCACAAUAAAACCCCUUCAUCUUAACCCCGCCCCCCAUGUUUUUCCACUUUCCCUCAGCAGCAGUUUUAUUUUGAAGGGAAGCGCUCGUGUUUCCUGUCAUUUUUCUUUUAAGGAUUAUUAAAAAACAA